GGAGCUUGCUCCUUUGAGUUAGCGGCGGACGGGUGANUAACACGUGGGUAACCUACCUAUAAGACUGGGAUAACUUCGGGAAACCGGAGCUAAUACCGGAUAACAUUUAGAACCGCAUGGUUCUAAAGUGAAAGAUGGUUUUGCUAUCACUUAUAGAUGGACCCGCGCCGUAUUAGCUAGUUGGUAAGGUAACGGCUUACCAAGGCGACGAUACGUAGCCGACCUGAGAGGGUGAUCGGNCNCNCUGGAACUGANANNCGGUCCAGACUCCUACGGGAGGCNNNNNNAGGNANUCUUCCGC
rnacentral:rRNA from 1 species